AGUGCAGACUUCAGUGAUUCCUGAGUAGGGUCUGGUGAAACCAAUGACCUCCAGUUCACCACUGAAGGACCCUGUUCAUAAGAAGGGUCUUCCUUCUGUAGCUCCGAAGAGGCACUGAGAAUUGGCAGGUUACUUUACCUGCCUGCUCCUCCUACUGGGAGAGAUGGUGCCUGUUGAGAAAGUCUUCCCUGUUUUGGACUCAAACCAACCUUCGUAGCUGCAGCCUCCGCACUGGAAAAUGGGGAUUAGGAGGGCAAUGGCUGCUCACCUUGUUUGAAAAGAAGCAUGAGUUACUGAAAAGCAGACUUUUCCUUCCUGUGGAAGCCCACUUCUUUCUUUUCCAUCAGCUUCCCCCAACUUUAUGGAGAGUUGUUGGUACUGAAGCAAGGAAAGCUGGGCAAGGAGUGUGUGCAAAGUUGAGUCUGGACCAGGUCUCCAAGGAUCCCACAAAGGCUUUGGGCCAGCACUCUACUCUCGAGAAUGCACAUAGGUUCCAAAAGAACCUCCCUGAGCCCUGACUGCUUCUAACAAGUCAUUAUGAAGGAGAACUGACUGAGUGCACUCAGCCCAGCAGCCCACAGACUCCCAGGAACACGGUUUAG